AGGCGAUGAAGGACGUGGCACGCUGCGAUAAGCGUCGGGGAGAUGUGAGCAAUCUUUGAUCCGGCGAUUUCCGAAUGGGGAAACCCACCCUCACCAUUUCCUUUCGAUUGUUUUCGGACAGUCGGAAAGAGGUGGAUAGGGUAUCACCAGACUGAAUACAUAGGUUUGGUGAAGCGAACCCGGGGAACUGAAACAUCUCAGUACCCGGAGGAAAAGACAUCAACAGAGAUUCCCGUAGUAGUGGCGAGCGAACCGGGACCAGGCCAGUGCCUUCAUUUCAACUAGCAAAACACUUUGGAAAGAGUGGCCAUAGCGGGUGACAGCCCCGUAUGCGAAAGUGAUGAUGAAGGACUCGAGUAGGGCGGGACACGUGAAAUCCUGUCUGAACAUGGGGGGACCACCCUCCAAGCCUAAAUACUCGCACAUGACCGAUAGCGAACACAGUACCGUGAGGGAAAGGUGAAAAGCACCCCGAUUAGGGGAGUGAAACAGUACCUGAAACCGGAUGCUUACAAGCAGUUGGAGCCCCAUAGGGGGUGACAGCGUACCUCUUGCAUAAUGGGUCAGUGACUUAAUCUACCAUGCAAGCUUAAGCCGUUAGGUGUAGGCGCAGCGAAAGCGAGUCUGAAUAGGGCGACUGAGUAUGAUGGAUUAGACCCGAACCCCGGCGAUCUAGGCAUGGCCAGGUUGAAGGUGCAGUAACAUGCACUGGAGGACCGAACCGGUGAAUGUUGAAAAAUUCUCGGAUGAGCUGUGUUUAGGGGUGAAAGGCCAAUCAAGCCGGGAAAUAGCUGGUUCUCCGCGAAAUCUAUUGAGGUAGAGCGUCGGAUGUAUGCCGAUGGGGGUAGAGCACUGGAUGGGCUAGGGCUGCGCGAGCGGUACCAAACCUAACCAAACUCCGAAUACCAUCGAGUCUUAUCCGGCAGACAGACGGCGGGUGCUAAGGUCCGUCGUCAAAAGGGAAACAGCCCUAACCUACAGCUAAGGUCCCCAAGUCAUAUCUAAGUGGGAAAGCAUGUGGGAAUCCCAAAACAACCAGGAGGUUGGCUUAGAAGCAGCCAUCCUUUAAAGAAAGCGUAACAGCUCACUGGUCUAAACAAGGGUUCCUGCGGCGAAGAUGUAACGGGGCUAAAGAUAUGCACCGAAGCUUAGGGUUCAGAAUUUAUUCUGAGCGGUAGCGGAGCGUUCCGUAAGCGAGUGAAGGCGAAGGGUAACCGACGCUGGACGUAUCGGAAGUGCGAAUGCUGACAUGAGUAGCGACAAACAGGGUGAGAUGCCCUGUCGCCGAAAGACCAAGGGUUCCUGCGCAACGCUAAUCGGCGCAGGGUUAGCCGGCCCCUAAGACGAGCCCGAAGGGGGUAGUCGAUGGGAACCACGUAAAUAUUCGUGGGCCUGAAGAUGUGUGACGGAUCGUGGAAGUUGUUUUCUCUUAUUGGAUUGAGAGGGCAGCCAAGCGGUUCCAGGAAAUAGCCUCUUCACUAUAGACCGUACCCGAAACCGACACAGGUGGUCAGGUAGAGUAUACCAAGGCGCUUGAGAGAAGUAUCCUGAAGGAACUCGGCAAAUUGCCUCCGUACCUUCGGAAGAAGGAGGCCCCAUAUCGACGCAAGUCUUUGUGGGGGGCACAGGCCAGGGGGUAGCGACUGUUUAGCAAAAACACAGCACUCUGCUAAGUCGGCUUCAAGACGACGUAUAGGGUGUGACGCCUGCCCGGUGCUCGAAGGUUAAGAGGAGGAGUGCAAGCUCCGAAUUGAAGCCCGAGUAAACGGCGGCCGUAACUAUAACGGUCCUAAGGUAGCGAAAUUCCUUGUCGGGUAAGUUCCGACCUGCACGAAUGGCGUAACGACUUCCCCACUGUCUCCAGGAUAUGCUCAGCGAAAUUGAAUUCUCCGUGAAGAUGCGGAGUACCCGCGGUUAGACGGAAAGACCCCGUGCACCUUUACUGCAGCUUCAGAGUGGCAUUAGGAAAUUACUGUGUAGAAUAGGUGGGAGGCUUUGAAACAUCGGCGCCAGCUGGUGUGGAGCCAACCUGUGAAAUACCACCCUGUGAUUUUCUGAUGUCUAACCACGCACCGUUAUCCGGUGUUGGGACCCUCUGUGGCGGGUAGUUUGACUGGGGCGGUCGCCUCCUAAAGAGUAACGGAGGCGCGCGAUGGUAUGCUCAGGACGGUUGGAAACCGUCUGCAAGAGUGCAAUGGCAUAAGCAUGCCUGACUGCGAGACCGACAGGUCGAGCAGAGACGAAAGUCGGUCAUAGUGAUCCGGUGGUCCCUCGUGGAAGGGCCAUCGCUCAACGGAUAAAAGGUACGCCGGGGAUAACAGGCUGAUGAUUCCCAAGAGCUCAUAUCGACGGAAUCGUUUGGCACCUCGAUGUCGGCUCAUCACAUCCUGGGGCUGGAGCAGGUCCCAAGGGUUUGGCUGUUCGCCAAUUAAAGUGGUACGUGAGCUGGGUUCAGAACGUCGCGAGACAGUUUGGUCCCUAUCUGCCGUGGGCGUCGAUUGUUGAAAGGAGUUGCCCCUAGUACGAGAGGACCGG
rnacentral:rRNA from 1 species